rnacentral:rRNA from 1 species
UAAUGUUUGAUGUUCUAACGUGGACCCGUGAUCCGGGUUGCGGACAGUGUCUGGUGGGUAGUUUGACUGGGGCGGUCUCCUCCUAAAGAGUAACGGAGGAGCACGAAGGUUGGCUAAUCCUGGUCGGACAUCAGGAGGUUAGUGCAAUGGCAUAAGCCAGCUUGACUGCGAGCGUGACGGCGCGAGCAGGUGCGAAAGCAGGUCAUAGUGAUCCGGUGGUUCUGAAUGGAAGGGCCAUCGCUCAACGGAUAAAAGGUACUCCGGGGAUAACAGGCUGAUACCGCCCAAGAGUUCAUAUCGACGGCGGUGUUUGGCACCUCGAUGUCGGCUCAUCACAUCCUGGGGCUGAAGUAGGUCCCAAGGGUAUGGCUGUUCGCCAUUUAAAGUGGUACGCGAGCUGGGUUUAGAACGUCGUGAGACAGUUCGGUCCCUAUCUGCCGUGGGCGCUGGAGAACUGAGGGGGGCUGCUCCUAGUACGAGAGGACCGGAGUGGACGCAUCACUGGUGUUCGGGUUGUCAUGCCAAUGGCACUGCCCGGUAGCUAAAUGCGGAAGAGAUAAGUGCUGAAAGCAUCUAAGCACGAAACUUGCCCCGAGAUGAGUUCUCCCUGACCCUUUAAGGGUCCUGAAGGAACGUUGAAGACGACGACGUUGAUAGGCCGGGUGUGUAAGCGCAGCGAUGCGUUGAGCUAACCGGUACUAAUGAACCGUGAGGCUUAACCUUACAACGCCGAAG